rnacentral:rRNA from 1 species
CCCUUAGAUGUCCUGGGCCGCACGCGCGUUACACUGAUGCAUUCAACGAGCUUAUAACCUUGGCCGAGAGGCCUGGGCAAUCUUGUUAACGUGCAUCGUGAUAGGGAUAGAUUAUUGAAAUUAUUAAUCUUGAACGAGGAAUUCCUAGUAAACGCAGAUCAUCAAUCUGCAUUGAUUACGUCCCUGCCCUUUGUACACACCGCCCGUCGCACCUACCGAUUGAAUGGUUUAGUGAGAUCCUUGGAUCGGCCCUGUCGCGGCUGGCAACGGCCGCGUCGGCGCGUCGAGAAGACGAUCAAACUUGAUCAUUUAGAGGAAGUAAAAGUCGUAACA